GAUGAACGCUGGCGGCGUGCUUAACACAUGCAAGUCGAACGGGAAACCUUUUAUUGAAGCUUCGGCAGAUUUAGCUGGUUUCUAGUGGCGGACGGGUGAGUAACGCGUGGGUAACCUGCCUUAUACAGGGGGAUAACAGUCAGAAAUGGCUGCUAAUACCGCAUCAGCGCACAGAGCUGCAUGGCUCAGUGUGAAAAACUCCGGUGGUAUAAGAUGGACCCGCGUUGGAUUAGCUGGUUGGUGGGGUAACGGCCCACCACGGCGACGAUCCAUAGCCGGCGUGAGAGGGUGAACGGCCACAUUGGGACUGAGACACGGCCCAGACUCCUACGGGAGGCAGCAGUGGGGAAUAGUGCACAAUGGGGGAAACCCUGAUGCAGCGACGCCGCGUGAAGGAAGAAGUAUCUCGGUAUGUAAACUUCUAUCAGCAGGGAAGAUAAUGACGGUACCUGACUAAGAAGCCCCGGCUAACUACGUG
rnacentral:rRNA from 1 species